AAUUGUCCGGACCCAGCCGGAAAACAAAAGAGAGCCGUAAAGAGCAUAGCUACCAAAGUGGGAAGAGCGAUGGCGAAAGAGUGUCUGAGUGGCGAACGGAUAUGGAAAUGGUAGUCGCAAACGCUUAGGAAUCGAUUGUCCAGCUCGUGACGGAAUGUAUCUCUUGGAUUCGGAUUCAAUCGCUGACGUAAACACCUCUCCAUUCGCUAUAACUUGGCCAUCGGAUUGGGCUUCAUUCGCUUUCGUCGGAUUUGCCGAUAAGAAGUCACUGCCCCACGGCGUCUGGGUUAACCCAAUUAAGAUAUGUACUAAAACAAACAAUUCGUCUAUAAAUACACAUCUCAAGUGUUGGAAAUAGGGGAUUUGCCAACUCAUUGAGAGGUCAUUAGUUUGAACUGAUUUGUUAGGGUAAUCCAGUAAGGUGCUACCCGCAAGGAAAUGAUAUAUGGCCUAUAAUUAACGAUAAGCAUUUAUUAUUUUAUAGUACUUUAUAGUAGUUUGGUUUAGGAAACACAUUAAUGAGUUUAUGAUAGUGUAUGCUUGUUGAAGAUGCGUUGAAAUCUAUAUAUUAAUCCUCAGUAAAAAUGGCAUAUAAAUAGUAUAAAUGGUAUAUCACUUUAGAAUACACCUAAGCAAAUAGCAUAUAGAUAGAAUCGAAAGCCUGCAAGCUGGGUAAACUAGUUUCGGAUUCGAAUUCGUCUAAGUUGCCAGGCCAGACUCGAUCUGAGGGGUAUUAUGUAAAUAUGGGUGAAAUAAAUUAGAAAGGAGACGCACAAUAGUGAUGAGAUGGCAGCGUCUGAGGCCCUUAGCUCGGUGAAAAGACUGAGAAAGCUCUCCGAUGGGAGAAAGUUACCCGAGUACCAAUUGAAUCGAAGAGUUCGUUACAAUUGCAACUGGAAUCCCGCCGAAGAUUUCUUCGGUUGGAACUGGUUUGGUUUCGUUCCCCUUGAAACCCGUUUUGGCCGAAAGUGAAGUGCAGCCUCAUCGGGACAGCAGAACACGAAUGUAGUGAUAGAAAAUAAUUACAGAAAAGAAGGCAGAUAAGAGCGACUGGGACUGAUAACGUAUACUGGAUUUUUGAUGAUGGGCGAACAUUUUCUGUUGAUUGCUGGUUGCCAAGCACUCAGUUCACAACGUGGCAUAAAAUGAAUAUAUAUGAAAUUAGCACUGUGUCUAGAAUCGAAGCGAAAAAGAAUUUGCAUAGCGAAGGCUGGAUUUCAUUGGAUAGUGCUUUUUGGUUAUGACUUUCAUUCAACAUUUUAGCCACGUUGGCGCUGAUGGUAUUCUGCUGCUGACGUUGGCAGCAAUCACUGCUCCGCACCAUAAAUACAUUUUAUUCCACGACCCCCGGAAGAUAAGACCCUCGUUGGGUUGCUAUUGUUGUUUUCGGGGGGCUUUAAGAACCCAGAAUGGUCAACGUGGACCAGCAGCCAGGUGAUAGCGAAGGCGGAGAUAGCUCCCUGAUGGUUUCCCAUUUGGUAUUACCUGGUCCGCGUUCUGGAAGCGGCUGAAAGUUGCCAUUGGAGUUGUUGCGUGAGUAGCGCUUGCUGCCGCCUGCCAUUUUUU